rnacentral:tRNA from 1 species
GCCUUCGUGGUGUAGUGGUCAGCCCGCUCGACGCGUAACCGAGAGGUCCGUGGUUCGAUUCCCGGCGAAGGAC